ensembl:lncRNA
CUAGCAUCUCUGUCUGGUAUCUAGCCAUUGUGAACACUGCGAAUGCAGUCAUGCAGGAAAUAGACUGGGAACCAUGUCUUUGGAAACAGGUUUGUGAACCAUUUGGGAUCCCAAACCAGAUGUUGUAAACUGUAUAUUUUGAUUCAUCCUGGAAGUGCAAGGUGUCAUAUGAGAUACCUACUAGUAAUUACUGAAGGGGAUCCCAAAUGGUACCAAGUUUUGAAGAUUUCCUGUUUUUAGGAUGGAGCUUCUGCUUUGCAACUCCCCAGUACAUUAGAACAGUCAUAUUUGGAUUGGACUAGAGUUUUUUUUUUUUUUUUUGACUGAUUGCAACAUAAUUCAAUGUUUUAUGUCAAAUGGCAUGAACAUGAGAAUAUAAAACAGUAGAAGGCUUUUAUUCUCAACAAACGUUCUGUUGAGGGUGGUUUCCUGCUAACUGUGAGAUGGUAGCUGUUUUUUAUUGAUACUCAACUAUCAUGUUUGUCUUGGAAGAUGUUGUGCUCUAAUGUUCUGGUGCACAGAGUGUUUUAUCACCAUAGAAAUAACUAAAUGUGCAUUUACCAGACGCUGUAGAUGACCGAUUGAACCGAUUCUUGCUCUUAAAGUAACAACACAGUGUUAUCUUACAAAUGUGAAGUCUGGACUAAACCUCGUCCACAAACCUUGAUUUUUGACUAAACACACCAAAAGAGAUGCUCUAAAACCAAGAGCAAAUGCUGUACAACAAUAAUGCAGAAUGCUCAAGAAUUUUAAAUGGAGAGUCCCAGUUCAGACCCAUUCGACCAUUUUGCAUCCCUGUUUCACUAAGCAUUUAAUUAUGUCGGGUUGCAUUAUGGUUCUUGGGAAACCAGCCUGAGAAAAGAUGACCCAAAAUUCUUGUUGUCGUUACUCACCAGUCCACAGCAGACAUCAGCAGACCUUUUUUUGCAGAAUGUAUAUAAUAUCAAUGAAUACUAACUAUACACAUUGUGGGCUGUUCAACAAUAGAGUGCCAGAAAGUGAAGACACGCAGAGAAUCUGUAGAUACUUAAACCAGGGUAGUCAAAAAAGCUGUAAAACCUUGUGUGCACUUUUGGGCAUUUUAUUUUUUGUUUUCUUUUGUACAUACUACUAGCAUUUAAGAUGUUUGGGUUGACAUGUCUGGUUAUAGUGCAAUAUAUUUUGUAUGCAAGCAGUUUCAAUAAAUAAAGGUUGAUCUUCCUCCGUU